UUUUUUUUUUGGUCUUUUGCAUUUGGUUUUUCAAAGAGCUUUGGCAAACACCAGAGCCAUCAAAGCCAGGGCAGGCCCUCUAUCCUUCCUUUCUUACUGAUGCUCUUGACCUGAGUUCCUUGGGUGCUCCUCUGCCAUCUACCAAGGUGCAAAAUUUGCAAAAUUAUCUACUGCCUCCAACCCUAGCCUUCUUCCAUCCAUGGGAUGCUCCCUCCAGUCCUGUCUGGAAAGAUACAGGCAGGAAUGAAGC